UACGUAGGUGGCAAGCGUUGUCCGGAAUUACUGGGUGUAAAGGGAGCGCAGGCGGGAAGCCAAGUCAGCUGUGAAAACUACGGGCUUAACUUGUAGACUGCAGUUGAAACUGGUUUUCUUGAGUGAAGUAGAGGUUGACGGAAUUCCGAGUGUAGCGGUGAAAUGCGUAGAUAUUCGGAGGAACACCGGUGGCGAAGGCGGCCAACUGGGCUUUAACUGACGCUGAGGCUCGAAAGUGUGGGGAGCAAACAGG
rnacentral:rRNA from 1 species